GAUGAACGCUGGCGGCGUGCCUCAUACAUGCAAGUCGAGCGAAGCGGGGACGGGUGAGUAACACGUGGAUAACCUCCUAUAAGACUGGGAUAACUUCGGGAAACCGGAGCAAAACCGGAUAUUUACAGAUGGAUCUGAGCUGCAUUAGCUAGUUGGGAAGGUAACGGCUUACCAAGGCAACGAUGCAUAGCCGACCUGAGAGGUGGAUCGGCCACACUGAAACUGCGACACGGUCCAGACUCCUACGGGAGGCAGCAGUGGGGAAUCUUCCGCAAUGGGCGAAAGCCUGACGGAGCAACGCCUCGUGAGUGAUGAAGGUCUUCGGAUCGUAAAACUCUGUUAUUAGGGAAGCGGUACCUAAUCAGAAAGCCACGGCUAACUACGUGCCAGCCGCCGCGGUAAUAC
rnacentral:rRNA from 1 species